GCCUCUGUAGCUCAACGGUUGAGUGCUUCAGACAUGUUGAAAAACCAGAUUCUUCAUGAAGAGACGUGGGUUCAACUCCCAUCCGAGAGGCA